GGAGAGAUGGCAGAGUGGUCGAAUGCGGCGGUCUUGAAAACCGUUGUUCCGAAAGGAACCGGGGGUUCGAAUCCCUCUCUCUCCGCCA
rnacentral:tRNA from 1 species